UAGAGACUUGCAUUAAUGGAAGACCACACAUAGACGCCCAAAGGGCCUAAAAAAGUGAUGUAAGGAUUGCUGACACUAUUCAAGCAAGUAGUCACUGA